rnacentral:rRNA from 1 species
AACGAACGCUGGCGGCAUGCCUAACACAUGCAAGUCGAACGAAGGCUUCGGCCUUAGUGGCGCACGGGUGCGUAACGCGUGGGAAUCUGCCCUUAGGUUCGGAAUAACAGUUAGAAAUGACUGCCAAUACCGGAUGAUGACGUAAGUCCAAAGAUUUAUCGCCUGAGGAUGAGCCCGCGUAGGAUUAGCUAGUUGGUGUGGUAAAGGCGCACCAAGGCGACGAUCCUUAGCUGGUCUGAGAGGAUGAUCAGCCACACUGGGACUGAGACACGGCCCAGACUCCUACGGUAGGCAGCAGUGGGGAAUAUUGGACAAUGGGCGCAAGCCUGAUCCAGCAAUGCCGCGUGAGUGAUGAAGGCCUUAGGGUUGUAAAGCUCUUUUACCCGUGAUGAUAAUGACAGUAGCGGGAGAAUAAGCCCCGGCUAACUCCGUG